GACGAACGCUGGCGGCGUGCUUAACACAUGCAAGUCGAACGGGAACCUUUAUUUCGGUAAAGGUGAGAGUGGCAAACGGGUGAGUAACACGUAGGCAACCUGCCGACAGGAUGGGGACAACAUUCCGAAAGGAAUGCUAAUACCGAAUGGAGUCCGGAGAUGGCAUCAUCUCCGGAUAAAAGAUGGCCUCUGAAUAUGCUAUCGCCUGUCGAUGGGCCUGCGUCUGAUUAGCCAGUUGGCGGGGUAACGGCCCACCAAAGCGACGAUCAGUAGCCGGUCUGAGAGGAUGAACGGCCACAUUGGGACUGAGACACGGCCCAGACUCCUACGGGAGGCAGCAGUGGGGAAUCUUCCACAAUGGGCGAAAGCCUGAUGGAGCAACGCCGCGUGAGUGAAGAAGGUCUUCGGAUCGUAAAGCUCUGUUGCACGGGACGAAAACCGAGCUUGAGAAUAUU
rnacentral:rRNA from 1 species